rnacentral:rRNA from 1 species
GAGUUUGAUCAUGGCUCAGAACGAACGCUGGCGGCGUGCCUAACACAUGCAAGUCGAGCGCGAAAGUCCCUUCGGGGGCGAGUAGAGCGGCGGACGGGUGAGUAAUACAUAGGUAAUCUACCUUCGAGCUUGGGAUAACCCCGCGAAAGUGGGGCUAAUACCGGAUAAGACCACGCAACCAUGUUGCGGGGUAAAAGGUGGCUUAUUUUUUAAAUGAGCUGUCACUUGAGGAUGAGCCUAUGGCCUAUCAGCUUGUUGGCGGGGUAAGAGCCCACCAAGGCUAUGACGGGUAGCUGGUCUGAGAGGACGACCAGCCACACUGGGACUGAGACACGGCCCAGACUCCUACGGGAGGCAGCAGUGGGGAAUAUUGGGCAAUGGGCGCAAGCCUGACCCAGCGACGCCGCGUGGGCGAUGAAGGCCUUCGGGUUGUAAAGCCCUGUCAUGCGGAAAGAACGACCCUGUGACGCAUACUCACAGGGAGUGACGGUACCGCAGGAGGAAGCACCGGCUAACUCCGUGCCAGCAGCCGCGGUA